GCUGGGUGUGGUGGCUCAUGCCUAUAAUUCCAGGGACUCAGAAGGCUGAGGCAGGAGCAUCACAAGUUUGAGGCCAGCCUCAGAAAUUUAGUGAGGCCCUGAGCAACUUACUGAGAGCCUGUCUCAA
rnacentral:sRNA from 1 species